rnacentral:rRNA from 1 species
AAUACAAAGGGCAGCGAAACCGCGAGGUCAAGCAAAUCCCAUAAAGUUGUUCUCAGUUCGGAUUGUAGUCUGCAACUCGACUACAUGAAGCUGGAAUCGCUAGUAAUCGUAGAUCAGCAUGCUACGGUGAAUACGUUCCCGGGUCUUGUACACACCGCCCGUCACACCACGAGAGUUUGUAACACCCGAAGCCGGUGGAGUAACCUUUUAGGAGCUAGCCGUCGAAGGUGGGACAAAUGAUUGGGGUGAAGUCGUAACAAGGUAGCCGUAUCGGAAGGUGCGGCUGGAUCACCUCCUUU